rnacentral:lncRNA from 1 species
AUGAUUUUCUAUUUCUUCCCCACAGCAGUAUUCUCAAUGUUGACUUCACAAGCUAAACAGUUUUAUCACUUACUGGAUCUGGCACACACCAAUGUACAACUAACUGAGAACUCAGAAAGAACACUUCUGUAUAUGACCAUGAAAAACCAUAGUGCUGUCAAUGAGUUUGUUCUCCUUGGACUAUCUAUUGACCCACAUAUUCAGGCUGUACUUUUUGUGAUGUUCCUUCUGAUUUACCUCCUCACUCUGAUGGGAAAUUUCUUGAUGCUGCUGAUGAUAUGGGCUGAUUUUCACCUCCACACACCCAUGUACUUCUUUUUGAGACAGCUCUCCUUUCUGGAUCUCUGCCAUUCAUCCGUCACAGUCCCCAAGAUGCUGGAAAAUCUACUUUCUGAAAGUAAAACCAUCUUUGUAGAGAGCUGCCUGGCUCAGGCCUUCUUUGUGUUUACCACCGGGGGCACUGAAGCCUGUCUGCUGGCUGUGAUGGCCUACGACCGCUAUGUAGCCAUCAGCUCCCCUCUGCUUUACGGCCAGGUGAUGAACAACCAGCUCUGUGUUGGGCUGGUGUGGGGCUCCUGGGGCCUGGCCUUUGUGGAUGCUCUCAUCAACAUCCUCCUGGCUGUCCAUUUAGACUACUGUGAGGACCAAACUAUUCCCCACUUCAGCUGUGAGCUGUCUUCUCUCUUCCCUCUGUCUUGCUCUGAUACCUCCACCAAUUACACGCUCCUGCUUUGUUCUUCUGUCUUGCAUUUUUUUGGAACCUUUGUGAUGAUUGCUUCUUCCUAUGCCCGUAUUGUCUCCACUGUCCUAAGCAUCAGCUCCACUUCGGGCAGAAGUAAGGCCUUCUCUACCUGCUCCUCCCACCUCACUACUGUGAUCUUGUUUUAUGGCUCAGGUUUCCUCAGCUAUCUGUUGCCAACCUCAGGUUCUGCCCUGGAGAUGAUCUUCUCCUUGCAAUACAGCGUGAUCACUCCCAUGCUGAAUCCUCUCAUCUAUAGCCUGCAGAACAAGGAGGUGAAGGCAGCUAUGGGAAGAGUGUUUAGAAAAUACUUUCAUUCUCUUUUGUAG